rnacentral:lncRNA from 1 species
AUGGCUAUUGGUAUCAACAGAGUGCAUUUCGUCAUUGCAAUGCUAUGUAUUGCAUCUGUUUUGUCUCGCGGAGGAGUCAUUGGUUCACAAUCCUCAUGGACUUAUUGCAUUGGACAAGGUCCAUGUCCAAAUAAUGAUCCAGCCUGUACCAACUAUUGUCAACAAAAGAAGAUUUCUCAAGUUGGCAAGUGCAUUGCAAAUCAAUGUUGUUGUACUGGAGAAUAG